rnacentral:lncRNA from 1 species
UUUUUCCUUUCGUGCGGUUGGAGCUCUGUGUUUUCCUCCCUUGUUUGUAAUUCAGUGCUUGUUUUUUUCAUGCGGGGCUCUUCCACAGCGCCGUGGUUUCUUAUUUUUGUAGGAAGAGGUGCCGUAAAAUGUGGCUGGACUAUUCUUGAUUUUUUAAAUCUUCCUUGACUCUUGUUGCAGUUCCCCUAAUGGAGCUAUUGUUUGUUGCU